UACGGGGGGGGCAAGCGUUGUUCGGAAUUAUUGGGCGUAAAGGGCGCGUAGGCGGUGUGGCAAGUCAGGUGUGAAACCUCCAGGCUCAACUUGGAGCUUGCAUCUGAAACUGCCGUGCUAGAGUGUGGGAGAGGAGAGUGGAAUUCCUGGUGUAGCGGUGAAAUGCGUAGAUAUCAGGAGGAACACCGGUGGCGAAAGGCGGCUCUCUGGACCACAACUGACGCUGAGGCGCGAAAGCUAGGGGAGCAAACAGG
rnacentral:rRNA from 1 species